GAUGAACGCUGGCGGCGUGCCUAAUACAUGCAAGUCGAGCGAACGGACGAGAAGCUUGCUUCUCUGAUGUUAGCGGCGGACGGGUGAGUAACACGUGGAUAACCUACCUAUAAGACUGGUAUAACUUCGGGAAACCGGAGCUAAUCCCGGAUAAUAUUUUGAACCGCAUGGUUCAAAAGUGAAUGACGGUCUUGCUGUCACUUCUAGCUGGAUCCGCGCUUCAUUAGCUAGUUGGUAAGGUAACGGCUUACCAAGGCAACGAUGCAUAGCCGACCUGAGAGAGUGAUCGGCCACACUGGAACUGAGACACGGUCCAGACUCCUACGGGAGGCAGCAGUAGGGAAUCUUCCGCAAUAGGCGAAAGCCUGACGGAGCAACGCCGCGUGAGUGAUGAAGGUCUUCGGAUCGUAAAACUCUGUUAUUAGGGAAGAACAUAUGUGUAAGUAACUGUGCACAUCUUGACGGUACCUAAUCAGAAAGCCACGGCUAACUACGUG
rnacentral:rRNA from 1 species